UCCCAGACUCCUACGGGAGGCAGCAGUGGGGAAUAUUGCACAAUGGGGGAAACCCUGAUGCAGCAACGCCGCGUGAGUGAAGAAGGUUUUCGGAUUGUAAAGCUCUGUUAGCAGGGAAGAGGAAGGACGGUACCUGCAGAGGAAGCCACGGCUAACUACGUGCCAGCAGCCGCGGUAAUACGGGGGAUGCAAGCGUUGUCCGGAAUCAUUGGGCGUAAGGAGUUCGUAGGUGGCACGUUAAGUCUGGUGUUAAAUGCAGAGGCUCAACCUCUGUUCGGCACUGGAUACUGGCGAGCUUGAAUGCGGUAGAGGUAAAGGGAAUUCCUGGUGUAGCGGUGAAAUGCGUAGAUAUCAGGAGGAACAUCGGUGGCGUAAGCGCUUUACUGGGCCGUAAUUGACACUGAGGAACGAAAGCCAGGGUAGCAAAUGGGAUUAGAUACCCUCGUAA
rnacentral:rRNA from 1 species